UAGGGAUUAAAGUGGCAUCCUUUUUUGCGUCAGUUCGAGUGUCCCGACAUAAAGGUCGGGAUGUAUCGAGAACAAGUAAAAAAGAUAUAACGGAAAGCCCGACCUUUA
rnacentral:sRNA from 1 species